AGCAGCCGCGGUAAUUCCAGCUCCAAUAGCGUAUAUUAAAGUUGUUGCAGUUAAAAAGCUCGUAGUUGAAUUUCGGGAUCAAUACGUCGGUCGUGCUUCGGUACGUACUGGCGUCAUUGAUUUCUCCCUUCUGACGAACCAUGAUGUCCUUAACUUGGUGUCAUGGGAAAUCAGGACUGUUACUUUGAAAAAAUUAGAGUGUUUAAAGCAGGCUCACGCUUGAAUACAUUAGCAUGGAAUAAUGAAAUAGGACGUUUGAUUCCAUUUUGUUGGUUUCUAGGAUUGACGUAAUGAUUAAUAGGGAUAGUUGGGGGCAUUAGUAUUCAAUUGUUAGUGGUGAAAUUCUUGGAUUUAUUGAAGACUAACUACUGCGAAAGCAUUUGCCAAGGAUGUUUUCAUUAAUCAAGAACGAAAGUUAGGGGAUCGAAGACGAUCAGAUACCGUCGUAGUCUUAACCAUAAACUAUGCCGACUAGGGAUCGGAUGAUGUUAAUUUUUUCAAUGACUCAUUUGGCGCCUUA
rnacentral:rRNA from 1 species